rnacentral:rRNA from 1 species
AGCAGCCGCGGUAAUUCCAGCUCCAAUAGCGUAUAUUAAAGUUGUUGCAGUUAAAAAGCUCGUAGUUGAAUUUCGGGGUUCAUCCGUUGGUCGGGCUUUUUGGUCUGUACUGGCGUGAUGGAUUCCUACCUUCUGAAUAACCAGCAUGUCAUUAAUUUGGUGCGCUGGGGAAGCAGGACUGUUACCUUGAAAAAAUUAGAGUGCUUAAAGCAGGCUAUCGCCUGAAUACAUUAGCAUGGAAUAAUGAAAUAGGACGGCAUGGUUCUAUUUUGUUGGUUUCUAGGAUCACCGUAAUGAUUAAUAGGGAUAGUUGGGGGCAUUAGUAUUCAAUUGUCAGAGGUGAAAUUCUUGGAUUUAUUGAAGACUAACUUCUGCGAAAGCAUUUGCCAAGGAUGUUUUCAUUAAUCAAGAACGAAAGUUAGGGGAUCGAGGACGAUCAGAUACCGUCGU